CUUAUCCGCAUAAUAGACCUGUUUAACAGAAGCGCGGGAAAUGGAAAUAGUAAACAAACGGACUCUCGACGAGAUCGACUCUGUGUUAGAGUUUGCGAAGCUUGGUCGUGAUGAGAUUAAGUCAGUCACCCAGAGUAUCUACUUCUCUGAGCAGCUUGAUAGCGAGGGAAUCAAGCUUCUUGAACUGGAUACUGCGGUCCUUACUGCCCUGGAAAAUGGAGAGAGAGUCAUUAUCAGAGGAGACAAAGAAGACAGUGCGGUUCUGUGUACAGAGAGUGAAACCUUCGAAGUAAAGCUAGGAGAGGUGUCCAACGCAUUGCUGAUAGUGCCUGAUAUGACCCUGGGCAGUGAGCUGACAGAUACAUUACUCCCCUCAAUACAGUACCAGCAGGUCAACUCAGUAAUGCACACAUUUUAUGAACUGCGGAAGAUGAAGCCACGCCUUCAGAAGUUAAGAUCUCUGCUUGAAGAAAAUCCGUAUGCUGGCCAGGCGGCUGAGGGCGAUGUAGACCAUCAGGGAACAAAGUACACAUUCAAUGAGCUAUUAAAUCUUGUACAAGGAAGUGAAAGAGAAAUAAAGAUAGCAUUGGAGAAGAUGCAAGCCAUUGUAAUUGAUGGUUACUGGCGUGUGCUUGAUUUUGACUUCCUGGUGCAAGUGAUGAGCCACCUUCUACAGCUCUGUGAUGAAAACAGUUGGCUAGACCAGGGCAUACCCAUCCAGGAAUGCCUCUCGGUGCUACAGGACAUCUUUCCAAGAACUGUGAUAGAACAUGUAUUGAAGAACUUUGCAGACAAAAUAACACCAGCAACAGGCAAAGACGAUGAUGAAAAACAUAUGCAAAUAGAUAUUGAUUACUAUAGGCUCAAUGAAGACAAAGUUUGCAGGUUCUUUGCUGAACAGAUCUUAAAACAUGCUAGAAAGUUUAAUCUGAGUCAGUUCCUCUCUACAUGGGAAAAGAGUGUUCCAGAUGGAAUGAAAACCAGUGUAUCUCAGCUUGAGGUGACAAAUGAUCCUAGUCCUGCAAAUAUGGGUCUGAUGCUAAAUGCGGCCAGCAUAACUUUGGACCAGUCUGGAAUGGCCCAGCCUGCUAUGAAGUCACGCAAGGUUUCCAGAUCUAGUAAGCGGACAGUCUAGCUCCUCAACCAGACUAAGGGAAUGCACAGGCUAGUCUGGAUCUGUGCUGGCCACAUAUGGGAUCAGACCCAUUUUCGCAUGAUGUGGCUGAAAUAAUGGUUUUAUAGACGUGGGUAUUGCCCUUAUUGACCGUGAUAGCAACCCUGAGGUCAUCUCAUAUAUGACUGUGGACACACUGCCGGAAGAGAUCUCAGAAAGAUUCAACCACUUAUUCAGAAUUCGUGAAAAAUGGAGUUUGCCUGAAAUUACCCCAUACAUUAA